AUCUGGUUCAGGACGAACGCUGGCGGCGUGCCUAACACAUGCAAGUCGAGCGGGGACAUACGACGGAACCAAAGUUUCGGAUGGAGGCGAAGAUGUAUGUUCUAGCGGCGGACGGGUGAGUAACGCGUGAGCAACCUGUCCCUUACAGGGGGAUAACACAGCGAAAGUUGUACUAAUACCGCAUGAGACCACGGGGAGACAUCUUUCAGGGGUCAAAGGAGCAAUCCGGUAAGGGGUGGGCUCGCGUCCGAUUAGAUAGUUGGUGAGGUAACGGCCCACCAAGUCGACGAUCGGUAGCCGACCUGAGAGGGUGAUCGGCCACAUUGGGACUGAGACACGGCCCAAACUCCUACGGGAGGCAGCAGGUGGGGAAUAUUGGGCAAUGGGGGGAACCCUUGACCCAGCAACGCCGCGUGAGGGAAGAAGGUUUUCGGAUCGUAAACCUCUGUCCUUGGUGAAGAGUAAGAGACGGUAGCCAAGGAGGAAGCCCCGGCUAACUACGUGCCAGCAGCAGC
rnacentral:rRNA from 1 species